rnacentral:piRNA from 1 species
UCUUUUCUUAAAUUUUUGUCUAGAGUGGUC